GACGAACGCUGGCGGCGUGCUUAACACAUGCAAGUCGAACGGAAAGGCCCUGCUUUUGUGGGGUGCUCGAGUGGCGAACGGGUGAGUAACACGUGAGUAACCUGCCCUUGACUUUGGGAUAACUUCAGGAAACUGGGGCUAAUACCGGAUAGGAGCUCCUGCUGCAUGGUGGGGGUUGGAAAGUUUCGGCGGUUGGGGAUGGACUCGCGGCUUAUCAGCUUGUUGGUGGGGUAGUGGCUUACCAAGGCUUUGACGGGUAGCCGGCCUGGGGGGGUGACCGGCCACAGUGGGACUGAGAUACGGCCCAGACUCCUACGGGGGGCAGCAGUGGGGAAUAUUGCACAAUGGGCGGAAGCCUGAUGCAGCAACGCCGCGUGCGGGAUGACGGCCUUCGGGUUGUAAACCGCUUUCGCCUGUGACGAAGCGUGAGUGACGGUAAUGGGUAAAGAAGCACCGGCUAACUACGUG
rnacentral:rRNA from 1 species